rnacentral:rRNA from 1 species
ACGCUGGCGGCGUGCCUAAUACAUGCAAGUCGAACGAGUUCUGAUUAUUGAAAGGUGCUUGCAUCUUGAUUUAAUUUUGAACGAGUGGCGGACGGGUGAGUAACACGUGGGUAACCUGCCCUUAAGUGGGGGAUAACAUUUGGAAACAGAUGCUAAUACCGCAUAAAUCCAAGAACCGCAUGGUUCUUGGCUGAAAGAUGGCGUAAGCUAUCGCUUUUGGAUGGACCCGCGGCGUAUUAGCUAGUUGGUGAGGUAACGGCUCACCAAGGCAAUGAUACGUAGCCGAACUGAGAGGUUGAUCGGCCACAUUGGGACUGAGACACGGCCCAAACUCCUACGGGAGGCAGCAGUAGGGAAUCUUCCACAAUGGACGCAAGUCUGAUGGAGCAACGCCGCGUGAGUGAAGAAGGCUUUCGGGUCGUAAAACUCUGUUGUUGGAGAAGAAUGGUCGGCAGAGUAACUGUUGUCGGCGUGACGGUAUCCAACCAGAAAGCCACGGCUAACUACGUGCCAGCAGCCGCGGUAAUACGUAGGUGGCAAGCGUUAUCCGGAUUUAUUGGGCGUAAAGCGAGCGCAGGCGGUUUUUUAAGUCUGAUGUGAAAGCCCUCGGCUUAACCGAGGAAGUGCAUCGGAAACUGGGAAACUUGAGUGCAGAAGAGGACAGUGGAACUCCAUGUGUAGCGGUGAAAUGCGUAGAUAUAUGGAAGAACACCAGUGGCGAAGGCGGCUGUCUGGUCUGUAACUGACGCUGAGGCUCGAAAGCAUGGGUAGCGAACAGGAUUAGAUACCCUGGUAGUCCAUGCCGUAAACGAUGAAUGCUAGGUGUUGGAGGGUUUCCGCCCUUCAGUGCCGCAGCUAACGCAUUAAGCAUUCCGCCUGGGGAGUACGACCGCAAGGUUGAAACUCAAAGGAAUUGACGGGGGCCCGCACAAGCGGUGGAGCAUGUGGUUUAAUUCGAAGCAACGCGAAGAACCUUACCAGGUCUUGACAUCUUUUGAUCACCUGAGAGAUCAGGUUUCCCCUUCGGGGGCAAAAUGACAGGUGGUGCAUGGUUGUCGUCAGCUCGUGUCGUGAGAUGUUGGGUUAAGUCCCGCAACGAGCGCAACCCUUAUGACUAGUUGCCAGCAUUUAGUUGGGCACUCUAGUAAGACUGCCGGUGACAAACCGGAGGAAGGUGGGGAUGACGUCAAAUCAUCAUGCCCCUUAUGACCUGGGCUACACACGUGCUACAAUGGAUGGUACAACGAGUUGCGAGACCGCGAGGUCAAGCUAAUCUCUUAAAGCCAUUCUCAGUUCGGACUGUAGGCUGCAACUCGCCUACACGAAGUCGGAAUCGCUAGUAAUCGCGGAUCAGCACGCCGCGGUGAAUACGUUCCCGGGCCUUGUACACACCGCCCGUCACACCAUGAGAGUUUGUAACACCCGAAGCCGGUGGCGUAACCCUUUUAGGGAGCGAGCCGUCUAAGGUGGGACAAAUGAUUAGGGUGAAGU